UAUCCAUAUACCUUCUGUGGUACAUACAGUAGGAAUUCUCAACCAGCACAGGGUUUUAUUUGUCUUAUCUUCUUGUUAUUAUCUCCCCUUUAACAGGUACCAGAGAAGAGAAAAAGAAAAGAGAUUAGUGCGAAAUCUCAGCAAAAAGCAGAUGUCAGCUAUAUUACUGAAAACCCUAAGGCUGAAGUAAACACUGACCACUGAGGAGCCACAAGCCAGAAAUGAAAACUGAGCAUGAAAAGGCAAUCACUGAGAGAGGAAUGUUGUGCGGCUGAAAAGGAAAAGGAAAAGAGUUGGCCGGCACAACGAGCGUAAUGCAAGUGGGGCUUAGCCCCUGCGUAUUUAUUCAAAGUAUAGCAGCAAUGUUUCGGGGGCACUUGUUGACACAAUCUCAAAGAAAAAGGCAAAGAAACAAAAUGAAAAGGAAAACAAAAAGAGAAAGAAGAGAGCAAAGCAGAGAAGAAAAGAAUGGAAAUGAUCCUUCCUGAUACAAUGCUGAGGAAGUGAAGGAAUAUGGCGCCUUAGUAUUUCCUAUGCCGCUACUUGUGCCUGUGAUCCAAAAGCCACUGCUGCCCCAGAUCGUUUCCUAUUCAGUUGAAUGGGAAGCGGGGGUAUCAGUCACCUAUGCAGGGGACUGGGGCGGGUGCUAACUGGGGCAUCUGGGGUGGGCAGUGGCUCUAUGAUUGCCCCCAUGAGUAAUUCUGUGUGUGCUAUUGGACUGAGCAGUGAUGAGUGAAUCUGUCACAUUACGUUGUGCUGAAAAAUUUAUAAAAUGGCAAAAAUUCUUGGAACGUUUUGCAAUAAAUGGGCGUUUUUUCGCCAAGACUUUUUCCACUUUACGUGACAUUUGGAGUCUGUGGGCAAAAUAUUGUGCUCAUCACUAUCACUGAGAAAGUAAUGAGGAAGGGGACAAAGAAGAUCUAAUGAACCCAAACUUUCUAGGAACUUUCCCCAAACUCCUACAGAAAAUUCAGUUAUUCUUGGAAAGAAAAGGAAGAACUUUGCCUUCAUUGUUUUAUGCAAUGGGGGAGGUGGAUUUGUUAAAAUGCUGAUCUUCAGCUAAAUGUACAAAAUAAAAUCUAUUAUAAUAAAGUAGUAUAAGAACGA